UAACACCGUAACUUCGGGAGAAGGUGUGCCCCUGAUGGUGAAGCACUUGCUGCGUAAGCUAUUAGGGGUUGCAGAGACCAGGUGGCUGCAACUGUUUACUAAAAACAUAGCACUGUGCAAAAUCGAAAGAUGACGUAUACGGUGUGACGCCUGCCCGGUGCCGGAAGGUUAAGGGGUGAGGUUAGCAGCAAUGCGAAGCCUUAAACCGAAGCCCCAGUAAACGGCGGCCGUAACUAUAACGGUCCUAAGGUAGCGAAAUUCCUUGUCGGGUAAGUUCCGACCUGCACGAAUGGCGUAACGAUCUCCCCGCUGUCUCAACCAGAGACUCAGUGAAAUUGAAAUACGGGUGAAAAUGCCCGUUACCCGCGGAAAGACGGAAAGACCCUGUGCACCUUUACUAUAGCUUGACAUUGGGUUUUGAACAAGCAUGUGUAGGAUAGGUGGGAGGCUGUGAAUUCGGGGCGCUAGCUUCGGAGGAGCCAACCUUGAAAUACCACCCUUGCUUGUUUAAGAUUCUAAUUCCACACCGUUAUCCGGUUGGAAGACAGUGUCUGGUGGGUAGUUUGACUGGGGCGGUCGCCUCCAAAACAGUAACGGAGGCUUGCAAAGGUUCCCUCAGCCUGAUCGGAAACCAGGCGUUGAGUGCAAAAGCAUAAGGGAGCUUGACUGUGAGAGAGACAUCUCGAGCAGGGACGAAAGUCGGCUUUAGUGAUCCGGUGGUCCCGCAUGGAAGGGCCAUCGCUCAUAGGAUAAAAGGUACGCCGGGGAUAACAGGCUGAUCGCAUCCAAGAGUUCACAUCGACGAUGCGGUUUGGCACCUCGAUGUCGGCUCAUCACAUCCUGGGGCUGAAGCAGGUCCCAAGGGUACGGCUGUUCGCCGUUUAAAGUGGUACGCGAGCUGGGUUUAAAACGUCGUGAGACAGUUUGGUCCCUAUCUUCCGUGGGCGUUGGAGAAUUGAAGAGGGCCUGCCCCUAGUACGAGAGGACCGGGGUGGACGAACCUCUGGUGUUCCUGUUGUCACGCCAGUGGCAUUGCAGGGUAGCUAUGUUCGGAAGGAAUAACCGCUGAAAGCAUCUAAGCGGGAAAUCUGCCUCAAGAUUAGUUCUCCCUCAGCUUCGGCUGCUGAAGACUCCCGGUAGACCACCGGGUUGAUAGGCCGGGCGUGUAAUCGCGGUGACGCGUUUAGCUAACCGGUACUAAUAAGUCGUGCGGCUUUUGACA
rfam:Desulfovibrionaceae bacterium CG1_02_65_16 cg1_0.2_scaffold_9774_c, whole genome shotgun sequence.